rnacentral:lncRNA from 1 species
AAUAGGCCCAGCUUCAGAAGACCCUUCCCCUGCUACCACCAAAAUAGCCCGUAUUUGGGUCACAACAGCUCUAUGCCUCCCCCCUCUUCAUGGGUCGACCAAUCUUGACAACCCUCAGUACCCCACUCCUUUCCCUCAUCCUCCACGGACACCAUGGAAGAAGACCCCUUAAUUGUAGAAGAAGCCGGCCCUUCAAUCUCCUCGCCGACUUUUGCCAACUUCGAACCAGUUGCCUCAACACACCUCACCACCAUGGGGGUAAUCGAAACAUCAAUAGACCCAUC